rnacentral:rRNA from 1 species
ACUCAAAUGAAUUGACGGGGACCCGCACAAGCGGUGGAGCGCGUGGUUUAAUUCGUAGCAAAACGAAGAACCUUACCAAGGUUUGACAUGAUAUAGAAUCCCGGGGAAACUUGGGAGUGCCGCAAGGAGCUAUAACACAGGUGAUGCAUGGCUAUCGUCAGCUCGUGUCGCGAGAUGUUGGGUUAAGUCCCUCAACGAGCGCAACCCUCGUCCUUAGUUACAUUACUAGGGAUACCGCCACGCCAAAACGUGGAGGAAGGUGGGGAUGACGAUUAGUCCGCAUGUUCUUUACAUCUUGGGCAACACACACGCUACAAUGGCCGAGACAAUGGGUUGCCAAACUGCAAAGUGGAGCUAAUCCCCAAACUCGGUCUCAGUUCGGAUCGUGGGCUGAAACUCGCCCGCGUGAAGAUGGAAUCGCUAGUAACCGCGUGUCAGCAUGGCGCGGUGAAUACGUUCUCGGGUCUUGUACACACCGCCCGU